UACGUAGGGUGCAGGCGUUAAUCGGAAUUACUGGGCGUAAAGGGUGCGCAGGCGGUCUCGUAAGCUGGGUGUGAAAGCCCCGGGCUUAACCUGGGAAUGGCAUUCAGGACUGCUAGGCUUUGAGUGUGGCAGAGGGAGGUGGAAUUCCACGUGUAGCAGUGAAAUGCGUAGAGAUGUGGAGGAACACCGAUGGCGAAGGCAGCCUCCUGGGCCAGCACUGACGCUCAUGCACGAAAGCGUGGGGAGCAAACAGG
rnacentral:rRNA from 1 species